rnacentral:rRNA from 1 species
UACGGGGGGGUGCAAGCGUUGUUCGGAAUUACUGGGCGUAAAGGGCGCGUAGGCGGCCAACUAAGUCGGAUGUGAAAUCCCCAGGCUCAACUUGGGAACUGCAUCCGAUACUGGUCGGCUUGAAUCCGGGAGAGGGAUGCAGAAUUCCAGGUGUAGCGGUGAAAUGCGUAGAUAUCUGGAGGAAUACCGGUGGCGAAGGCGGCAUCCUGGACCGGCAUUGACGCUGAUGUGCGAAAGCUAGGGGGAGCAAACAGG